UAAUCCCUACGGGAGGCAGCAGUAGGGAAUCUUCCACAAUGGGCGAAAGCCUGAUGGAGCAACGCCGCGUGGGUGAAGAAGGUCUUCGGAUCGUAAAACUCUGUUGUUAGAGAAGAAAGUGCGUGAGAGUAACUGUUCACGUUUCGAUGGUAUCUAACCAGAAAGCCACGGCUAACUACGUGCCAGCAGCCGCGGUAAUACGUAGGUGGCAAGCGUUAUCCGGAUUUAUUGGGCGUAAAGGGAACGCAGGCGGCCUUUUAAGUCUGAUGUGAAAGCC
rnacentral:rRNA from 1 species